rnacentral:rRNA from 1 species
CCCUUAGACGCUCUGGGCCGCACGCGCGCUACACUGGUCGAUGCAACGAGUUUCUUUCCUUGGCCGACAGGCCUGGGCAAUCUUUGAACAUCGAUCGUGAUCGGGAUAGAUUCUUGUAAUUUUUGAUCUUAAACGAGGAAUUCCUAGUAAACGCAAGUCAUCAGCUUGCAUUGAUUACGUCCCUGCCCUUUGUACACACCGCCCGUCGCACCUACCGAUUGAAUGGUCCGGUGAAAUCUCCGGACUGGCGUGAGUCGGAGCAAUCUGACAAACGCCGGAAAGUUGAUUAAACCUUACCAUUUAGAGGAAGGUGAAGUCGUAACA